rnacentral:rRNA from 1 species
AAGGGUGCGUAGGCGGCCGUUUAAGUCUGGGGUGAAAGCCCGCUGCUCAACAGCGGAACUGCCCUGGAUACUGGAUGGCUUGAGUACAGACGAGGUUGGCGGAAUGGACAGAGUAGCGGUGAAAUGCAUAGAUACUGUCCAGAACCCCCGAUUGCGAAGGCAGCUGACUAGGCUGUUACUGACGCUGAGGCACGACAGCGUGGGGAGCGAACAGGAUUAGAUACCCCAGU